ensembl:lncRNA
GGAGAGGGAGAGGCUUGCUCCGACAUCUGGAACCAAGAGUCACAAUCCUAACACCUGUCAGUAGCCGGAGGACGUCUGAUUACCUUUUAGGAAAACAGCUUGAACCAAACUGAGCUGGACGCAGCUAACAUCCACUACCGCAUCUGCCGAUGUUUGCGGGCGUCUGAUUGAUCGACGCCAUGCCAGGAGGCCGGUAUCAUCUUCCUUCUCUCCGAGCGGGACUUACCAUGGUGGACAGGGAGGAGACAGGAGAUGUCGAACAGGAAUUGGCGAAGAAAAGUUAAGAAAGUGAAGUAAAGUAAAGAAAAGUGAAUGGAAAAGUAAUAAAAGAUGGUAGAGACUCUGCCAUUGGCCAGUGUAGAGGAAGAGGAAGUUGAGGGGACGUAAUAGAGCACCCAUAGAGACAGGGAAACAGAACUCUAGGUCAAGUGAUUCCACCUUAAGGCCCAUACCAAGUUAAGUAUAUAUAAUGCCCAAGACAGAAUGAAUGUAGAUUUAAUAAGCCAGUUAGGCUGCCUUAGGAUAUAUUGUAGGACAGGGGUCUUCAACGUUUUC